UGUCUCAGUACUUGCUUUUACAAGGCGAAACCGCGAAUGGCUCAUUAAAUCAGUUAUGGUUCACUAGAUCGUACAGUUUACAUGGAUAACUGUGGUAAUUCUAGAGCUAAUACAUGCAUUCAGCUCGCUCUUUCGGGAGCGAGCGCAGUUAUUAGAAUAAAACCAAUCCGGCCUUCGGGUCGGUAAAAUUGGUGACUCUGAAUAACCGAAGCGGAGCGCAUGGUCUCGUACCGGCGCCAGAUCUUUCAAGUGUCUGACUUAUCAGCUUGUUGGUAGGUUAUGUGCCUACCAAGGCUUCGACGGGUAACGGGGUGUCAGGGCCCGACACCGGAGAGGGAGCCUGAGAAACGGCUACCACAUCCAAGGAAGGCAGCAGGCGCGCAAAUUACCCACUCCCGGCACGGGGAGGUAGUGACGAAAAAUAACGAUGCGAGAGCUUUUAGCUUUUCGUAAUCGGAAUGGGUACACUUUAAAUCCUUUAACGAGGAUCUAUUGGAGGGCAAGUCUGGUGCCAGCAGCCGCGGUAAUUCCAGCUCCAAUAGCGUAUAUUAAAGUUGCUGCGGUUAAAAAGCUCGUAGUUGGAUCUGGGUUGUUCGAGCGAGCGGUGCGUCUUCACGGCGUAACUGCUUGUUCGGCACCACAGCCCGGUUAUGUCUUGCAUGCCCUUCACUGGGUGUGCUUGGCGACCGGAACGUUUACUUUGAAAAAAUUAGAGUGCUCAAAGCAGGCGUAUGGCCUUGCAUAAUGGUGCAUGGAAUAAUAGAAUAGGACCUCGGUUCUAUUUUGUUGGUUUUCGGAGCUCGAGGUAAUGAUUAAUAGGAACAGACGGGGGCAUUCGUAUUGCGGCGUUAGAGGUGAAAUUCUUGGAUCGUCGCAAGACGCACUA
rnacentral:rRNA from 1 species